GGGUGGUAAUGCCGGAUGCUCCAGUUGACCGCAUGGUCCUCUGGGAAAGCUUUUGCGGUAUGGGAUGGGGUCGCGUCCUAUCAGCUUGAUGGCGGGGUAACGGCCCACCAUGGCUUCGACGGGUAGCCGGCCUGAGAGGGCGACCGGCCACAUUGGGACUGAGAUACGGCCCAGACUCCUACGGGAGGCAGCAGUGGGGAAUAUUGCACAAUGGGCGCAAGCCUGAUGCAGCGACGCCGCGUGCGGGAUGACGGCCUUCGGGUUGUAAACCGCUUUUGACUGGGAGCAAGCCCUUCGGGGUGAGUGUACCUUUCGAAUAAGCACCGGCUAACUACGUGCCAGCAGCCGCGGUAAUACGUAGGGUGCAAGCGUUAUCCGGAAUUAUUGGGCGUAAAGGGCUCGUAGGCGGUUCGUCGCGUCCGGUGUGAAAGUCCAUCGCUUAACGGUGGAUCCGCGCCGGGUACGGGCGGGCUUGAGUGCGGUAGGGGAGACUGGAAUUCCCGGUGUAACGGUGGAAUGUGUAGAUAUCGG
rnacentral:rRNA from 1 species